CGCACUUAUUGUUAAUUUGCUUAAUUUGUAUUUGUCUUUAAAACUUAACAUAGCAGCAUUCCAGGAUAAACUUUAGGAGGAUAAUUGUAAUAUGUAGAUUUAUCAAACUGAGUCUUUUUUCACAUGUUCCAAUUUAGAACCUAUAUUUGAAAUUUCUUCUCCAGUAAGGAUUAUGGGGAAUUGACAAGAAAAUUUGAAGAUUGUAGGCCUGACUAGCUAAACUGUAAUAUUUACUGAGAUUUUACUAAAAAGUUGCACUGUCACUUAUCAGUACUCCCUAAAGAUGAAAACUUUAUGAAGUACGGUACUCAUGCUGACUUGAAGAGAAUUUUCUUGAAAAGUCAUCAAAAGGCAUAGCUGCACACCCAGCUUGUGUCCAGGUGAUGGCUGUGGGAUUCAAGCAUCACUUUACGGAGACUCUUUUGGUCUCACAGGAUUCUCCAUCGAGCCCAGUAUUGUACUUUAAUGCACGCACAAGAGUACAGCACUGAUGUACUUCUGCCAGGUGAGGCACCAUGAGAUGAAUAGGGUCUACAAAAAUAAAAAGACAUCAGUAGCCACGAGGAACAGCUUAUUGCAUAUAAAACAUGCAUUCCCCUGCACCCCAUGGCUACUGGACCCUAACUGGAUCUGUCACUUUUGAAGGUCAGACCCACUUUAAAAUUGUUUAAUCCUCUUGUCAAUUCUCCACAAUUUUUGGUUUGAUGAAUAAACCCUCAAUUUGUUUUUAGGCAUUAUCUGGAUUGCAAUUGGAGAGAAUUUAGUUAUGUUUUUUUGAAAUAAGUGAUACUAAGACAAUUUUGGACUCAGGUUUCUUAAUCCUAC